rnacentral:antisense_RNA from 1 species
CCCGCACCUGGCUCCAUGGCGGAACCGGCCGGCGUGGAUUAUUCCCCUCUCGGGAGAGAGGUCUGCAGCCGGGCCUCAGUGCUUCAGUUCGUGGCCUGGCAUUUUGUCUGUAUCUUAAUUGUGGAUUAAGGUUGGAGUGCAGUGGCACUAUCAUGGCUUAGUCCAGCCUCAGCCUUCUAGGUUCAAGUAAUCUUCCCACCUCAGCCUCCCAAGAAGCUAGGACUACAGGGACCCACCACCACACCUAGCUAAUUAAAAAAAAAAAUUGUAGAGAUGGAGUCUCAGUGUGUAGCCCAGUCUCAAGUGACCCUCCCUCCUUGGCCUCCCAAAGUGCUGAGAUUGCUGGAAGAGUGUCUUCAUCUCUGCAUCCCUAGUGCAACAGAGCAUGAUAAAAAUUCAAUAAAUAUUUAUUGCAGAGUCUUGAUGUCUUUUGGGAAAGGAACUCUAUGGUUACCUUUACUCUAAGUUAAAAAACAACAACAACAACAAAAAAAAAACCCACAAAACCCUGAGGCUCAGAAGAUAAAUAUUUGCUGAAGAUCACUGUGCUUAUUAGAAGGGUGUUACUGAUUCUUACCUCAGAGAAGAGAAUGUCAUGGAGACAAAAUGACCUGCUUAGAGUUCUGCGCCCCCCAGCAUGGAGAGCAGAGCGCAAAGAUUUCCUCCAGACUCCCACAUUCUCCCUUGGAAUCCAAGAACUUGUCUACUAUCACAACACUUUAGUACCCACUUCUCCUAAGGAGGCAGCAGAAACCAAGGUAAUCACAAUGGUCAACAGCAGCGAAGGCAGCACUUUCUGA